rnacentral:rRNA from 1 species
GCUUACGGCCAUAUCAGCCUGGGUACGCCCGAUCUCGUCUGAUCUCGGAAGCUAAGCAGGGUCGGGCCUGGUUAGUACUUCGAUGGGAGACUGCCUGGGAAUACCAGGUGCUGUAAGCA